AAUAAGAAAAUUUUGAUCUUGAAUAUGAUUAUUAAAGUAUUGAUAUUCAUAACCCUGACGAAAACAAAGCGGACCUGGAACGGGCACGUAGCGGACAUGGGGUGGAUUGUGAGAUAUUUGGACCACAUAUUUUGUUUGUUGUACUUUUUUAAUGUACAAAAAAAGAAAAAUAUGCCUUCCAUAUGUCUAGCACUUAAGAGAAAUAACAAAAUUAUUUCUAACAAUAACGUUAGUAUUCAAAAUGUAUAUAUUUUUUAUAUACCAAUUACGUUGCUAACAAUGCUAUCUAUUAAUUUUCAAUAAAAAUGAAAGUUUUAUCACGAAA